rnacentral:rRNA from 1 species
UGGGGAAUAUUGCACAAUGGGCGAAAGCCUGAUGCAGCAACGCCGCGUGAGGGACGACGGCCUUCGGGUUGUAAACCUCUUUUAGCAAGGAAGAAGCGAAGGUGACGGUACUUGCAGAAAAAGCGCCGGCUAACUACGUGCCAGCAGCCGCGGUAAUACGUAGGGCGCAAGCGUUAUCCGGAAUUAUUGGGCGUAAAGAGCUCGUAGGCGGUUUGUCGCGUCUGCUGUGAAAACCCGAGGCUCAACCUCGGGCCUGCAGUGGGUACGGGCAGACUAGAGUGCGGUAGGGGAGAUUGGAACUCCUGGUGUAGCGGUGGAAUGCGCAGAUAUCAGGAAGAACACCGAUGGCGAAGGCAGAUCUCUGGGCCGUAACUGACGCUGAGGAGCGAAAGGGUGGGGAGCAAACAGGCUUAGAUACCCUGGUAGUCCACCCCGUAAACGUUGGGAACUAGUUGUGGGGUCCAUUCCACGGAUUCCGUGACGCAGCUAACGCAUUAAGUUCCCCGCCUGGGGAGUACGGCCGCAAGGCUAAAACU